rnacentral:rRNA from 1 species
UCGAACGCGGUUUCCCCGCAAGGGGAAACUGAGUGGCGAACGGGUGAGUAACGCGUGGGUGACCUACCUUCGAGUGGGGGAUAACGUCCCGAAAGGGACGCUAAUACCGCAUGACAUCCUGCCCUUGAACGGGUGGAGAUCAAAGCUGGGGCCGCAAGGCCUGGCGCUUGAAGAGGGGCCCGCGUCCGAUUAGCUAGUUGGUGAGGUAACGGCUCACCAAGGCGACGAUCGGUAUCCGGCCUGAGAGGGCGGACGGACACACUGGGACUGAGACACGGCCCAGACUCCUACGGGAGGCAGCAGUGGGGAAUUGUUCGCAAUGGGCGCAAGCCUGACGACGCAAUGCCGCGUGGAGGAUGAAGGUCUUCGGAUUGUAAACUCCUGUUGCCAGGGACGAAUGGCUCCGACCUAAUACGUCGGAGUAUGACGGUACCUGGUGAGGAAGCCCCGGCUAACUCUGUGCCAGCAGCCGCGGUAAUACAGAGGGGGCAAGCGUUG